UCUGUGUGUGUUGCAUUUUAACGUUGCGUCGUUUGUUUUCUCUUAUUUUUGAGUGUAAAUUCACAUUGCGAUAAGACGUGUCACGGUACUUGUCUAUCCCAAAUUCAUGUAUUUGGUUUUGAUGUUAUAUUUGUUGUUCUCGUGGGAUUUUGUCUGAUGCUUGGUCCGUUUCUGUGUGUGUUGCAUUGUAGUUUUGUGUCGUUGUUCUCCUGUUGUGUUUGAUGCGUUUCCCUCGGUUUUGGUUUGUUACCCCGAUUUUGUUUUUUGUCCAUGGAUUUAUG
rnacentral:lncRNA from 1 species